UGGGUGACCUGCCCUACAGCGGGGAAUAACCCGGGGAAACUCGGGCUAAUACCGCAUACGACCGAGAGGUGAAAGGGGCACGCAAGUGCUCUCGCUGAAGGAGGGGUCCGCGUUCGAUUAGCUAGUUGGUAGGGUAAUGGCCUACCAAGGCGACGAUCGAUAGCCGGCCUGAGAGGGUGAUCGGCCACACUGGAACUGAGACACGGUCCAGACUCCUACGGGAGGCAG
rnacentral:rRNA from 1 species